rnacentral:lncRNA from 1 species
GUUUAUUAAUUAGUUUAAUUAGAGUUUGUGCUUUGGAUGGAUAUUUGGUUAUGUUCUAUUCUUUAUGUGUAGUUUGCAUAUGUAGUAGUAAUACUGUGAUACUGAAGAGGGACUGGUCUGCAGGUCCAAAAACGUUAUAUAAGAAUAAAGUUUACUGUGUACUUGCUAAUAGUGUUGUUUUUCCCAAUGGUUUUUUAGGUGUUCCUGGUGGUGGCCUUUCUCUUCUGUUGUCUUUCUUUCCGGUUUUUCAAGGGGUGUGCCCGUGGUGAGGAGGGCUCCACAGUUGGUUUUUCGUUGGGCGGAUGUCCUUUAUGUUUGGCCUUUAGGAUUUCUAGGGAUUC